UGAGUCGGCCGGGCGGCCGCGGCACCGGGUCGUACGACCACGGUGUCGAGGAAAGUCCGGACUCCGCAGAGCGACGGUGGUGGCUAACGGCCACCCACGGCGACGUGCGGGACAGUGCCACAGAGAACAGACCGCCAGCGGCCUGCGCCUUCGGGCGCAGGUGCGGGUAAGGGUGAAACGGUGAGGUAAGAGCUCACCAGCGCUCCGGGUGACCGGGGCGGCUAGGUAAACCCCACCGGGAGCAAGACCAAGAGGACUCCUCCGCGUGCGGAGGGGUCUGCGCUGACGGGCUGCUCGUCCGAUGUCAGCGGGUAGGUUGCACGAGGCGUCCAGCAAUGGGCGUCCCAGAUGGAUGGUCGCCCGGGCCGGUGGAGUGAUCCGCUGGUCUGACAGGAUCCGGCUUACAGGCCGGCUCAUUCG
rnacentral:RNase_P_RNA from 3 species